CUCGCUCUGAAGUCCACUUUUCGGUCCAAGAUUAUGCUCAAACCCUCAACUCGGUGCGAAACAAUCCAAAACCAAUGAAAUAGUGUAUAAACUAAUCAAUACAUGUUUAGCCACGGGAUUUUUUGUAUUUAGCUAUGAUAUACUUUGUAGCUAUAUAUGCAUAAUAUUGUAGUGACUGAUUUUUUUAUUACAACUAGAGGGGGACCUAUGUAUAGUGUUGAGGGGUCACCUGACCCCGUAAAUUUCGACAGAAAAUCUUGUAUAUUUAUAUGUGUACAAUUUGAAAAUGAUUAUAUAAAUAACUUGACACCUUAAACACUAAAAGUCUUUAGGGGCUGCUGGUCAAGCAAAAUAAUGAUGCCUCCAUCGUGUUAAAAUUCUGGGUCCGCCUCUCAAUACAACUAUGGGCUCAUUUCAAGAAACCUUGGGCGCAUGAACAUGAACCUGUCAGCGAUCUCCUAGAUGUUGUUAAGGUUUGAUCAAUGAGCUCCCUACACGUGAAAUACCACGUUGAAACACAUUUUGUAUGAUUUAACACUUUGAAAAACAAUUUAGGCCAUUAAGCCAACUGCUUUAAUUGGAACAUCUGGAGUUGGAAGCACAUUUACUAAGGAAGUGAUUGAGGCCAUGACCUCUACAAAAAAGGACUUUUCUUGCGCUAAAGACAAAAAUAAUUUGCAGAGACCUCUUGUCACACCUCCUUUUUCACACACCCGCAAGGAUAUAUAAGGGAGUUUUUUCAAUUUAAGUGACAAUCGAAACGGGGUUAUUUAUUUAAAAUUGAGAGUCGCCACUUGGGAUAAUUUAUGGUGUCCCAAGUCACCAGUUUAAAUCCCGAAUCGAGAAAAGAUUGACUCUUUAUUUAUGGUCCGCGAACACAGAAAUCUGGAUAAGGAAUUCUGUUAACCCGGGAGAAGGUGUUAGGUAUUCCCGGGUUCCGUGGUUUUAGCACGGUCGCUCAGCUAUUAUUAUUGGCCUAAUUAUCUGAUUUUUUGCACGUUUUAAACCUAUUGUACCUUUUUUAACCUUUAAGCCGCUUUUAUUUAUUUAAAGAAUUAAUUCAAGGUUAUUUAAAUCAUAUCGCAAGCCACACUACAUGAAAUGCACCCGUGAUUCAUGACACGUUCUAUUUAACCUUGUUGGAAAUUAGAAUCGGGUCACAUGAAAUGCACAUCCGGAUUGAGAUUCACGUAUCAUAAUCAUGUCAUGGGAACCGUACCCGUAGCCACGAUGAUUCAUUAUUAAUCGUGCCUAGAGCAACUGCGUAUUUGACUAGACUGAGAUGUUCUUACGACUCAGUAUCAAGUUUGUUUUGGAGGUACUACAGAACGUGGUAUUGAUAAAGUUUAUACAACAUGAUUUUUUUAAAAAAAUUGACUCGGGUUUUGAAAGAACAGUUCCUUAACACGAUCAUGCUCUAUUGUCAUUAACCACAAUGCGUGAGUCGUCUGGGUGCAACGACAUUAGUUCCUUCCUAACCUCCUCGAUACUGGCAUUAUGAUCCUUGGUCAAUUGCUCAACAAAUUUUUUAUUUGAUCUACCUAUAUGACCUAAUACCGCUCUAGAAUCACCAAAGUUAGUACAUACAACGUCCUUUUCCAGAUAACACCAACCAGACAACAACAACCCUUUGUUUCAAUUAAUGGUGUAAUACCAAAUGCUCUUCCCAUAAGAGAAAGAAAGGCAACUUCAAUAUUAAUCUAUUUACAUUUAACUAAAUCAAACAGAGAUCCAAAUAAUUUAUGCCCUUCUAAAAUCUACGAGAUUUCAACAGAAGAACUCGAUGAACACGCAAUCGACACAAAAUCUAAACUCGAAUUGGGAGAAAGUUAAACAUAAAACAACUAUUCCAAAGCUCAAUCCAUCCGAAACAAGUUCGAAUAAAGAACAAUGAUACGGAAACAAACCUGUUAAGCCGAAAUUCUCUUCAAUUAACAAUAAAGAAGCGAUGAAUACACAUGCCUUAGACUCCGAUAAAUCAGUUGUGAAACAGCAAAAAAGAAACGAACAGAAAUUGUGACUGGAACCUCAAGCAACAGUUGGGAACUCGACUCGGCACCAAGACUCUCGAAUCGAACGCGAACUCAAAUCCAAAUUUCAGUCGAAUUCCAUUUUUAUUCACUCUGUUCUCUGUAUAUGGCUGUGUAAGUGUCUUUGGAUGAGGGGUCGUGACUUUGGUUGAAGAAGAAACAGAAUGUUCAGGGGUCGUUUGGGGUGUCAGCGGCGGGUCUCAACUCUUGGCAUCUAGGUCUAUUUUUUCAUUUUUUGUUCUCUUUUCGGCUGGUUCCAGCGUUGAAAUUUGAAGGGGAAGCUCUGUUUUAUCUUUUGUGUUUCUUCGAAGAAGAUGAAGAAAGGGGUGGGUGGCCGUGUAUGUUGAAGAACGACGGAUCCUUAGAUCUAUGUAUUAGGCCUUAUUUUUGUCUCCCUUUUCA
rnacentral:lncRNA from 1 species